rnacentral:rRNA from 1 species
AACGCGAAGAACCUUACCAGGGUUUGACAUAGUACGAAGUUUUUUGAAAAAAAAACCACCUUCGGGAACGUACAUACAGGUGGUGCAUGGCUGUCGUCAGCUCGUGUCGUGAGACGUCGGGUUAAGUCCCUUAACGAGCGCAACCCUUAUCACUAGUUGCCAGCGCGUCAUGGCGGGGACUCUAGUGAGACUGCCGGUGUCAAACCGGAGGAAGGUGGGGAUGACGUCAAGUCCUCAUGGCCUUUAUGAUUAGGGCUGCACACGUCCUACAAUGCGGCAUACAAAGGGAAGCAAACCCGCGAGGGGGAGCAAACCCCACAAAGUGUCGCUCAGUUCGGAUUGCAGGCUGCAACUCGCCUGCAUGAAGUUGGAAUCGCUAGUAAUCGCGGGUCAGCAUACCGCGGUGAAUGUGUUCCUGAGCCUUGUACACACCGCCCGUCAAGCCAUGGAAGCUGGGAGUGCCUGAAGUCCGUCACCGCAAGGAGCGGCCUAGGGUAAAAUCGGUAACUAGGGCUAAGUCGUAACAAGGUAGCCGUACCGGAAGGUGCGGCUGGAUCACCU